ACCCAUCUCUGCAAUUAUUUCCUUCUCCCUCCCCUGUCUUUUCCCCCAGUAUAAACAUACUGGGGCUCUUCCUUGCCCUUUUUCAGUUCAAUUGAAAUCAGACAAUAGAAAGGGAGCUCUUGAGCUACGUGCUUCCUUCCUUUUCCUCAGUCGAUGUACCAGCAACUACUCCUCUUCACUCAAGGAACCGAUACCCUUCAACGAUCGGGAGCUUUCUCCUUCAUAGUUCUAUCGAUCGUUCCAGUGAUCGUUGAGGAGUUAGGACUUUGAUCGCCUUUGUUUGAUUCGUCAGAGAAGAAGACAAGACAGAGGGAUGUUUGGAGAAGAAGUGUUUGCAGAGAUGGACGGGAAAGGCAGGAAAGAGGAAGAGGGGAAAUAAGGUUGUAGGACACGCAUGUCUCCAACCGGAAAAUGUUUGGCCCAAAAAACGAGCCACGACAACGUUCCGUCAAUUUUUUACCGAAAAUGAAUGUCUUGAUGUGUACUACAAAAAAUCGAUAAUUUCGUGUUGUAUUAUGAAAAUAUUUCAAUUUUUGAUGUGUGGUGAAAAGAAUUAAAAGCCCAUUAUGUAUGGUGCAAUUUACCCUUUAUGAAAUGCCACAAUUGACAUCUA